AGCUCCAAUAGCGUAUAUUAAAGUUGUUGCGGUUAAAAAGCUCGUAGUUGGAGUUCUGCCAGGUGACACUCGUCCGCCCAAGUGGUGUGUACAGGGUGUGCAUCUGGCCCUUUCAAGGGGAACGUGUCUGCACUUCAUUGUGUGGUGCGAGAUCCUUGACUUUUACUUUGAGGAAAUAAGAGUGUUCCAAGCAGGCUCUCGUCGUGCAUAGCUCAGCAUGGAAUAAUAGCAUUGGACUUCGUUUCUACGCUGUUGGUUGCAAGAAGCGAGGUAAUGAUGAAGAGGGAUAGUUGGGGGCAUUCGUAUUUAACUGUCAGAGGUGAAAUUCUUGGAUUUGUUAAAGACGAACUACUGCGAAAGCAUCUGCCAUGGAUGUUUUCAUUGAUCAAGAACGAAAGUA
rnacentral:rRNA from 1 species